GACGAACGCUGGCGGCGUGCCUAAUACAUGCAAGUAGAACGCUGAAGGAGGAGCUUGCUUCUCUGGAUGAGUUGCGAACGGGUGAGUAACGCGUAGGUAACCUGCCUGGUAGCGGGGGAUAACUAUUGGAAACGAUAGCUAAUACCGCAUAACAGUAGAUAUCGCAUGAUAUCUACUUGAAAGGUGCAAUUGCAUCCCUACCAGAUGGACCUGCGUUGUAUUAGCUAGUUGGUGAGGUAACGGCUCACCAAGGCGACGAUACAUAGCCGACCUGAGAGGGUGAUCGGCCACACUGGGACUGAGACACGGCCCAGACUCCUACGGGAGGCAGCAGUAGGGAAUCUUCGGCAAUAGACGGAAGUCUGACCGAGCAACGCCGCGAGAGUGAAGAAGGUUUUCGGAUCGUAAAGCUCUGUUGUAAGAGAAGAACGAGUGUGAGAGUGGAAAGUUCACACUGUGACGGUAUCUUACCAGAAAGGGACGGCUAACUACGUG
rnacentral:rRNA from 1 species